rnacentral:lncRNA from 1 species
CCUCUUUUUCCUGCCCCCAGUGACUUGCAUUUUCUCUGAGACAGCUGCCAUUCUAGUCUCCCAGCCAUUCUUAGGAAGAGACGUGCCUGUCUCUGGGAAGAGGCAACUUCUCUGCAUGUCAGAGGUUUUCUCAUCCACUCCUGAGAUUCAGACACAAGGAGCAUGGAUUACCCACUGGAAGUCUCACAAGCAUCUCACAUUCCAGUCUGUUGUGGCUACUGUGCUGUGCCAACCAGAAUCCCUGCUAUGAUGGAAGGCCCCCCUUCAUCAGCUACUGAGAAGGUUGUCAGCUUAUGGCUCAGCUAUUAGCCUUUUCCACGAAUGGCCAUCAGCUGAAGGGAACCAUAUCACCCAAGGUCUGUUACAUUUCCCAGAAUGGUUCCCAGUGCUGGAGAUAAUUCCUUUUCGGAGAACCUACAUUUCUCACCUGCUGAUUGCAAUUAGCCACUACCAGCUGGGGCCUGGUGUGCAGCUGAAAAGCUAACAAGAAGUGGAGACCACGCGGAACUCAGACAGGGCAUAGGAUGUGCAUAAAUAAGCAACGGUGCCUGUGUUUAUGAGAUGCUCCUGUGAAUUCGAGGCUUCCCCACCCUCUGCAUAACUCUCCCUCUUCUGGCUUUGUGCUGCACACCCCUCCCCUAACUAUAUUUUUUGUCUCUGGUUUUGUAGCCUACGUUUAACAUCACAGUCACGAAUUUACCACUAAGUACAUUUUGUUAGGCAAUAAACAGC